CUUUGUCUUGUAACUGUUCAGCUCAGUUGCUCUUCAACUCUCUCUACCCAAAUCUGGCAUACAUCUGCUUCAAGUGAACUCAAAAUUUCUUCCGAUCGGUUCAGAGACUCUGUCCAUGCAGAUGUUUGAUAUGUUGGAGAAGAAGAGAGCGACACUGUAUUUGUAUUUGCUUAUGACUAUGACUUGCAAACGCCGUUUUGACUGUAUCAUCAACCGCUAGGAAUGACAACAGCACCAUGUGCAUUGGAGAAAAAGGCGAAAAGGGAGACGCUGGCCAUCAGGGUCCUCAAGGCGUACGCGUAAGUGUUUCGUCGCUCAACAAUGUAGGAAAUUGUGCAUGAGUGUUAAAAGAGUAUUCCUUAGCUAUCCGCUAUAGCACAUGCGUGCACGCAGUUGGAUGUAGGCGUGUCAAACGUCGUAU